CAGGCAGUGGUUUGUGUCUUGAGCUGUAGGCAGGCAGUGGUUUGUGUCUUGAGCUGUAGGCAGUGGUUUGUGUCUUGAGCUGUAGGCAGUGGUUUGUGUCUUGAGCAGUAGGCAGGCAAUGAUUUGUUUAUUGAGCU